rnacentral:rRNA from 1 species
ACCAACAGGGAUUGCCUUAGUAACGGCGAGUGAAGCGGCAACAGCUCAAAUUUGAAAGCUGGCUCCUUCGGAGUCCGCGUUGUAAUUUGUAGAGGAUGAUUCGGCGAGGGCUCCCGCCUAAGUCCCCUGGAACGGGGCGUCAUAGAGGGUGAGAAUCCCGUAUGCGGUGGGUUGCCUUAGCCAUGUGAAUCUCCUUCGACGAGUCGAGUUGUUUGGGAAUGCAGCUCUAAAUGGGAGGUAAAUUUCUUCUAAAGCUAAAUACCGGCCAGAGACCGAUAGCGCACAAGUAGAGUGAUCGAAAGAUGAAAAGCACUUUGGAAAGAGAGUUAAAAAGUACGUGAAAUUGUUGAAAGGGAAGCGCUUGCAGCCAGACUUGUCCGCAGUUGCUCAACCGGUCUCCUGACCGGUGUACUCUUCUGCGGCCAGGCCAGCAUCAGUUCGGGCGGUCGGAUAAAGGCCCUGGGAAUGUAGCUCCUCUCGGGGAGUGUUAUAGCCCAGGGUGGAAUGCGGCCAGCCUGGACUGAGGAUCUCGCUUCGGCUAGGAUGCUGGCGUAAUGGCUGU